rnacentral:sRNA from 1 species
UCGUCAGUGAAAACGUCACUGUCAGCUA